rnacentral:rRNA from 1 species
UACGGAGGGUGCAAACGUUGCUCGGAAUCAUUGGGCGUAAAGCGCACGUAGGCGGCCUGUUAAGUCGGGUGUGAAAGCCCUGGGCUCAACCCAGGAAGUGCACUCGAAACUGGCGGGCUUGAAUAUGGAAGAGGGUCGCGGAAUUCCCGGUGUAGAGGUGAAAUUCGUAGAUAUCGGGAGGAACACCAGUGGCGAAGGCGGCGACCUGGGCCAAUAUUGACGCUGAGGUGCGAAAGCGUGGGUAGCAAACAGG